rnacentral:piRNA from 1 species
UCACGGUAUAGAGUGAGAUCGUUCACAU